UACGGGGGAGCAAGCGUUGUUCGGAUUUACUGGGCGUAAAGGGCGCGUAGGCGGCCACCGCAAGUCGACUGUGAAAUCUCCGGGCUUAACCCGGAAAGGUCAGCCGAUACUGCGGGGCUAGAGUGCAGAAGGGGCAACUGGAAUUCUCGGUGUAGCGGUGAAAUGCGUAGAUAUCGAGAGGAACACCUGCGGCGAAGGCGGGUUGCUGGGCUGUUGCUGACGCUGAGGCGCGACAGCGUGGGGAGCAAACAGG
rnacentral:rRNA from 1 species